GGAUCUCUGCCUCAUAGAGUGUCCGACGUAUUCAUCGAUCUGCUUACAACGCCAAUUACGAAGGAUAACUCGCGAAGGUAGAGGUUGGGUAUACAAAGGCGAUGUCACUGCGAAACAUUCACCAACUUUUGAUGAAAUGCACUUUAACUCCUCGCCUUUAAUGAACAUCUCGGCGUGGUUCGUGGAUGUAUGACGAUCUGGAACGAAAUAAUCACGGUGCGAUGAGACGAGACGAGACGAUGCGGGUUGCAAGAAAACGAGGCAAACAAGAUUGCUGCCGGCACCAGAGCGACUCGGAGGCGUAGCCACUGUGUGUAACUCUCGUCUUUCGUGGAGGUUGAACGAGAGAAAAUCCGGGGCGAGGGUAGGCGAGAGAGAUUCGUCCGGCUGUUGCCCUACCCUCCGAAGCAGGCCGAGCGGUGGACGUGAGGCAAGAGAAACGGCGAGAAAACGAGAGAAAGAACAAAAAUCCGCCGGAGAAAGAAGGAAAGCAAAGUAGUAGGAGAACGGUUUUCUCUCUCGAAGGAAUGGAGUUUUUAGUUCAUCCCGAGGGAAUCGCGAGAUUCAGAGCGGAGAGAACUCUCGUCGGUGGCUUCUUCAGAAAAUGAAAUCGAGCGUUCUCCUCGCGCCAGGAUUGUUCCACCCGGAUUGGACGGAACGCGGAUGCCCCGAAAUGUUUGUCGCAAUCAUCAUUUGUCUUCGUGGCCACCGAUACAAACGUGGCCUUGCCCGUAUAUCGUGCUCCGCCUCCUCCUCCACGAAUCGUGUUCUCCUCUCUUGAUCUCACCGUUUUGUUUCUUGGUUCUUCUACCUCGAUUUGCUGCUCGCUUGGCACGAGCCUCGUUCCGCUCCUUCCGCCUUUCGGCAAACGUGCGCGGAAUUGUCCGGCCGGCUGUGCGGCCGUUUCGGAGGGAUGGAAGAAAAUCCUGGAGCGCAUGGGAAGUCUGCUAGAACAAACGUGGGAGGGGCACGAAGACUCGAAACGUACGUGCUCCAAAGCGUACACUCCGAAAGCAAGAGACAAACAAGAGUGGGGCAAAAAACUAGUUUUAAAGAUUGGCUCGGUCACGUAAGACGUUUGUCCGUGACAUCGGUCGUCGUUGCCUGUUCUCUCCUCGGGAUGAGCGUGCUUCUCCCGUAUUUCCCGCGAAAAUAAGAAACGCGCUGUUUUAGUUUGCAUUUCUUCGUGCGAGCACACAAGUUCAACUUUAGAAGUAACAAACUUUUUCGAUAGCAACGUAAAUCUAUUAAGUUUUCGCUUCUCGAGAUACAGUAAAAUAAAAAGACGCAAUAUAUAGAAAUAUCGAAAUAUAAAAAUUAUUUGAUAUUUCGAAGGAUUAAUUGUUUAGAUUAAAAUAGUAGCCACGAAUUAAUCCAUCAAUCGCUACCUUAAAACGUACGCCGGAAACAAUUCGGCGUAAAAGAACGCAAUGACUGCCGCGAAAUAGACGGCGAUUUUCCACGUCCGACGCGGAAAUGGAAAGAAGAGAAGACCGGACGUAGGUUCAACAGAUAGACGGGGAACGAAUGGUGAAUAGCGGGCAAUCCAAACCACUCUGGGGAAAAAUAGCUGGACUGAAAGAGAAAGAGAUGAGAAAGAAGAAGAGAGAAAAGAAAAGGCAGUGACCUUUCUCAAGGGAGAUAACAUAUUUAUAAACUGCCAUUGCAUUAUUGCGAUUAUCGCAAGCACUCACGCUGCUCGACAAAUUCGUGA